UACGUAGGGACCAAGCGUUGUUCGGAUUUACUGGGCGUAAAGGGCGCGUAGGCGGCUUGUCAAGUCACUUGUGAAAUCUCUGGGCUUAACCCAGAACGGCCAAGUGAAACUGACAUGCUAGAGUGCAGAAGGGGCAAUCGGAAUUCUUGGUGUAGCGGUGAAAUGCGUAGAUAUCAAGAGGAACACCUGAGGUGAAGACGGGUUGCUGGGCCGACACUGACGCUGAGGCGCGAAAGCUAGGGGAGCAAACGGG
rnacentral:rRNA from 1 species